CUGUGCACUGUGGGACUCAAGGAGAGUCAUCAGCAAAGUUUUCUAUAUUCUUCACCUCUUCUCUACAUAUGGACCUGACUUUCCUGUUCUCACUAAAGGACAUCGUUUCCCUGAAGCCCUCUGGAGAAAGAGCGUUUCAGACUCCUCCUCUGCCUUCAACACCUCAGUUUCUUUGCAACCUGAGUAAUUAAACUCCACUGCAGUACAGCCACUGUUUCUCAAGCAUUGAAAACAUGAAGUCCUGGUUCAUGAUCCUCUGUGGUACUUUGGGGACAAAAAUCUGAUUCUGAGAGCUGCUGCAUUAUUAAGUAUAAAUAUACUACAUCCAAGGACCAAUUUUUCCCACCCCUGCAGUAUGAAUUUCUGAUUGUAUAAUAGAAGUCAAUUGCAGAAUGAAACAAGCAAAUGGAGCCAACUUCAUUGUUAACAACAAUAGAGCAGCUGCAUGGCGACUGUAGAUAUCACUGGAUACAUCACCCAGGGACUAUCAGCCAUUGGUACAAUCAAGAA